rnacentral:rRNA from 1 species
ACGUUUUGAUCCUGGCUCAGGACGAACGCUGGCGGCGUGCCUAAUACAUGCAAGUCGAGCGGACAGAAGGGAGCUUGCUCCCGGAUGUUAGCGGCGGACGGGUGAGUAACACGUGGGUAACCUGCCUGUAAGACUGGGAUAACUCCGGGAAACCGGAGCUAAUACCGGAUAGUUCCUUGAACCGCAUGGUUCAAGGAUGAAAGACGGUUUCGGCUGUCACUUACAGAUGGACCCGCGGCGCAUUAGCUAGUUGGUGAGGUAACGGCUCACCAAGGCGACGAUGCGUAGCCGACCUGAGAGGGUGAUCGGCCACACUGGGACUGAGACACGGCCCAGACUCCUACGGGAGGCAGCAGUAGGGAAUCUUCCGCAAUGGACGAAAGUCUGACGGAGCAACGCCGCGUGAGUGAUGAAGGUUUUCGGAUCGUAAAGCUCUGUUGUUAGGGAAGAACAAGUGCAAGAGUAACUGCUUGCACCUUGACGGUACCUAACCAGAAAGCCACGGCUAACUACGUGCCAGCAGCCGCGGUAAUACGUAGGUGGCAAGCGUUGUCCGGAAUUAUUGGGCGUAAAGGGCUCGCAGGCGGUUUCUUAAGUCUGAUGUGAAAGCCCCCGGCUCAACCGGGGAGGGUCAUUGGAAAC